UAAUACGUAGGUGGCAAGCGUUGUCCGGAUUUACUGGGCGUAAAGGGUGCGUAGGUGGAUAUUUAAGUCAGAUGUGAAACCCCUGGGCUCAACUCAGGGACUGCAUUUGAAACUGGAUAUCUGGAGUGCAGGAGAGGUAAGUGGAAUUCCUAGUGUAGCGGUGAAAUGCGUAGAGAUUAGGAAGAACACCAGUGGCGAAGGCGACUUACUGGACUGUAACUGACACUGAGGCACGAAAGCGUGGGUAGCAAACAGGAUUAGAUACCCUGGUAGUCCACGCCGUAAACGAUGAGUACUAGGUGUAGGGGGUAUCGACUCCCUCUGUGCCGCAGUUAACACAAUAAGUACUCCGCCUGGGAAGUACGAUCGCAAGAUUAAAACUCAAAGGAAUUGACGG
rnacentral:rRNA from 1 species